UACGUAGGGUGCAAGCGUUAAUCGGAAUUACUGGGCGUAAAGCGUGCGCAGGCGGCUUUGCAAGACAGAUGUGAAAUCCCCGGGCUCAACCUGGGAACUGCAUUUGUGACUGCAAGGCUAGAGUACGGUAGAGGGGGAUGGAAUUCCGCGUGUAGCAGUGAAAUGCGUAGAUAUGCGGAGGAACACCGAUGGCGAAGGCAAUCCCCUGGACCUGUACUGACGCUGAGACGCGAAAGCGUGGGGAGCGAACAGG
rnacentral:rRNA from 1 species